GACGAACGCUGGCGGCGUGCUUAACACAUGCAAGUCGAACGGAAAGGCCCCUUUGGGGGUCCUCGAGUGGCGAACGGGUGAGUAACACGUGAGUAACCUGCCCUUGACUUCGGGAUAACUUCAGGAAACUGGGGCUAAUACCGGAUAGGAAUCCUUGCUGCAUGGUGGGGGUUGGAAAGCUUCGGCGAUUUUGGAUGGACUCGCGGCUUAUCAGCUUGUUGGUGGGGUAGUGGCUUACCAAGGCUUUGACGGGUAGCCGGCCUGAGAGGGCGACCGGCCACAUUGGGACUGAGAUACGGCCCAGACUCCUACGGGAGGCAGCAGUGGGGAAUAUUGCACAAUGGGCGGAAGCCUGAUGCAGCAACGCCGCGUGCGGGAUGACGGCCUUCGGGUUGUAAACCGCUUUCAGCAGGGGCGAAGCUUGUGGUGACGGUACCUGCAGAAGAAGCACCGGCUAACUACGUG
rnacentral:rRNA from 1 species